rnacentral:lncRNA from 1 species
ACCACUUAAAAACCAAGUCUUUCCUAGCCAGAAUCAAUCCUAGGCAUGCACAUUCACAUUACCACACUUUUUAUUUUUUCGUGAAUUUAGAAAUAAGUUGCAAGUUUGUUUAAUUUUAUUCAUAAUUGCAACUUAAUAUUUAUGAUGCAAAAACCAAAAAAGAAAAAUAAAACAAGUAAAAGUAAUUAAACCUAAAAUAUCUUAAAAUUAUAAAGAAAAUGAAACCCCCUUAUUUAUUUGGUAGAAUCCUCAUUAUCUGACUUUCUUCACGACCGUAUUUGCACCUAGUUCCUCUUUCUAGAGUGGUAGGAUUGCCUUGCCCAGCUUCCGGAGUUUGAGU